rnacentral:rRNA from 1 species
UACGUAGGGGGCAAGCGUUGUCCGGAUUUAUUGGGCGUAAAGAGCGUGUAGGCGGUUUGGUAGGUCCGCUGUGAAAACUCGAGGCUCAACCUCGAGACGCCGGUGGAAACCAUCAGACUAGAGUCCGGAAGAGGAGAGUGGAAUUCCUGGUGUAGCGGUGGAAUGCGCAGAUAUCAGGAGGAACACCAAUAGCGAAGGCAGCUCGCUGGGACGUUUACUGACACUGAGGCGCGAAAGCGUGGGGAGCGAACAGG